rnacentral:sRNA from 1 species
CUAUCAGAGCCGGUCAAUGUCAUUACCCCCUAGUUGGGAUAUGGGAAUACUAGUGAAGA